CUGCAUUUUCCAGGGGGCGGCAAAAAAAGCCGCCCCCAAAUAUCGGGCGAGUGGUGCUGGUGAGGGAGCACUUUCCCCUGAGCUCUCUGCUCAGCUCUCUCACGCACUGCAGAGUGACGCUGGGAGCCGGAAUAUGAUGUCACCGCCCGCCCAGCAGCCCAGCAGCCACUGGACCCCAGGGAAAGGGAGAACCCCCCCAGCAUUCCCAAAGGUAAGGAGGCUGGGGGGGGGUUGAAUUUAAAAAAAAAAGUGUGUGUUAGUGUG